rnacentral:rRNA from 1 species
GAUGAACGCUGGCGGCGUGCCUAAUACAUGCAAGUCGAGCGAACGGACGAGAAGCUUGCUUCUCUGAUGUUAGCGGCGGACGGGUGUGUCACACGUGGAUAACCUACCUAUAAGACUGGGAUAACUUCGGGAAACCGGCGCUUAUACCGUAUGAUCUUCUGAACCGUAUGGUUCAUAAGUGAAUGACGGUCUUUCUGUCACUUCUAGAUGGAUCCGGGCUGCUUUAGCUAGUUGGGAAGGUAACGGCUUACCAAGGCAACGAUGCAUAGCCGACCUGAGAGGGUGAUAGGCCACAUGGGAAGGGAGACACGGUCAAGACUACUACGAGAGGCAGCAGUAGGGAAUGGGACGCAAUGGGGGAAAGCAUGACGGAGCAAGGGCGAGUGAGUGAUGAAGGUCUUCGGAUCGUAAAACCCUGUUAUGAGGGAAGAACAGAUGUGGAAGGAAAUGAGCAGAGAGUGACGGUACCGAAUCAGAAAGCCACGGCUAACUACGUG